rnacentral:lncRNA from 1 species
AUUAAGGAUAUAAAAGCCUAAUUGGAUUAGGUUUUAUUUAUUUAAUUGGGUCUAAUCAAAUGUGAUUUGGUUUGGGACCAAAUAUGAUAGAACCUAAGAGUCCCAUCUAGUUGGACUUCUCCCUAACGCCACCCUUUCUUUGUGCUCUUCUUUUCUUCACAUGAGAAAUAUUUCUAUGUGAAUGUUUCUCACACCCAGAGGAGGUUUGUCUCCCACUCUUCGAUCUCCUUUGAAUUAGGAUGAGUUUGGUUAGUGUUUGAAUUCAAAUGGCUUGAAUUUAAGCUAAAACUAUUUUGAUCUUAUCCUUAUCCUAUCCCUUGUCGGCAGCUCCCUUGAGAAGGAUGAUGUUUUGUGUGACAAUUGAGAAAGGAAUUAUG